rnacentral:lncRNA from 1 species
GCUUUAUUGACUCAGGUCCCGCCUCCCGGGCAGGUGGCCUGGCGGCCACUGCGUCCUUGUUCCGCCUGGCUCUGCCCCAGCGCCACCGCGGCCUCCCUGCUGAGGCGGCCUUUCUUUCUUUCACUUCAGACCCUUGAAGAUCAGGCUGGCAGCUGACACAGGUGUACGGUUUCACUUAUAAACAGGCAUUAUUCGCUCUGGUCGGUAUUUUCAGCGAGCCGCGGCGUUUGUUGCGUAACAGAGUCUCACGACAUUUCAGAAUUGCAGCUGGAAGGAUGGCUCAUGUUGGAACCUGGCAGGUGCUGCCCUGUGUGCCACAGCAACC